UUUUAAUUAUUAGUGUAAAUAUAUAUAGUAAAUCAAAAAGGAACCCAUAUAUAAAAUACAAAGGGAACCCAUAAAUUAAAAGCUUUGGUGGUUCCCUGGUUAAUGCGCCUACUUGUUCCAUAGAUACUCGGGUUUGAAUCCCGCAUUCUGCGUUUCUAUAUGUUUUUAUUUCGUUUUUUUUUUUAAAUUUUUCCUUUAAUGAAAAACCCAUUUAGGGUUACACUCACACAAAACAAAACGCAGCAGAAGAAAAGAAAAGAGAAGUCGCAGUGCAGAACAAGAAAACACCGCAUCCACCCUCACCCUCACCCUCUCUGGCGACCACCUCCUCUCCUCCGGCCGUCCUUCUCCGGCGUCAUUCUUCUCCGGCGACCGUCUAAAUGAACUGUUUUGAGCAAGAAGACUAAUCUUUUAGUUAGCUAGUGCUUUGAUAUAUUUUGAGUCCUCCCUUCAUUUACUCGACGAUUUUAAGCAUCAAAGUAGGCGAAAUCUGAGGUCUUUAUUACAUUCCGUGACCCGACCCGACCCAACCUGCUGCUCACUGCAGACACCAAACGCCCCACAUGCACCAUAAACUUCACAAGAUCUAUUUGGUUGAUACCAAAACAAAUUCCACUCAUGGUAGCUCUGCAACAAUUACAAGUGCUUAAUCUGCCCUGAGAUGUCUAUGAUAAAUCUUGAAAUAACCAAUAGAUUGUAUAAAGAAAAAGUGAAAUAGUUGUUUCUUUGACCUUUUUGUACCAAAUUCCUAUGUAAUAAUUGGAAGAGUUACCUGGUCUAUAGAAGCCCAUUUCAAAAUUUUCAUCA